rnacentral:rRNA from 1 species
AUGUCAAGGACGCCGGCGGCCGCGGCGAGGACGUCCGCGGGCGGCGCAGGGCGUUCGGAGACCCCUCCACGUCUGCGUGCUCCGUCCCAGGAUCGGGGACGAACUCGCCGCCGCGGCGACAUGACUGUGCAGCCGGUGGUGCAGCCGGCGACCUCCUCAGGCGCACUCCCAAUGCUGACGCGUACAAAUUACGCAGAGUGGGCUCUGCUCAUGAAGGUAUACCUUCAGGCCCAUGGCUGGUGGGGAGCGGUCUCGCACGGUGACGUCUCCUACCACCACGAGCGCAAUGCGAUGAUCACCAUCCUGCGCGGCCUCCCCUCGGAUGUGCUGCUCGCGGUGGGCGAGAAGGAGACCGCCAAGGAGGCGUGGGACGCCAUCGCUCUGCAGCGUCUCGGUGCCACGCGUGUGCGCGAGGCCAACGCGCAGAAACUCCGGCGUGACUUCAAGGGCAUCAGCUUCCGCGACGGGGAGACGAUCGACGAUUUCUCGCUCCGCCUGUCAGGGAUCGUCAUCGGCCUGCGCGCCCUUGGCGACACCGUGGAAGAAUCAAAGGUAGUGGCCAAGUUUUUGCGCGUGGUUCCAUCCCAGUUCGCGCAGGUGGCGAUCGCGAUCGAGACGCUGCUGGACAUUAGUACGCUCUCCCUGGACGAGGUCACCGGCAGGCUGCGCGUCGUGCAGGACCGCCUCGACGACGCGCAUGGCGGCAGCAGCAGCCAAGGUGGGCGGCUGCUUCUCACUCGGGAGGAGUGGCAGGCCAGAGAACUGCAACCUCGCGUCUCGGGCGGCAACACCAACCGUCGCAAGGGCGGCGGCCGUGGCCGAGGAAGGGGCCACGGUGGCGGACGUGGUGCCGCGCGUGGCGCCGUUAGUGGCGCGGACUACCCCGACAAGAGCGGCGGGGACAAGGAGAAGUGUCGAUACUGCGGCUUCAAGGGGCACUGGGCGCGCGACUGCAGAAAGAAGAAGAGGGAGGAGGACGCCCUCCUUGCCCAGGCCGAUGAGGAGGCCGAUCCGGAGCUGUUGCUCGCCGAGGUGGUCGAGAUCGUACGUCCCACUCAGGCAGGCAGCAGCGUCGCGGCGCUGGCUCCGGCGGCAAAACCCACGGCACUCAUCUUGUACCACCUGGCCAGCUCAACCGACACAACCACCGCUCCAGGGGUGAUACCCUGGGGUUUCUGCUCCCAGGUUCCCAUGGCAGUUCAACCGCUCGGACACUUGGUUGCAUCGUCCCAGGAGUACCACCAGGGUGGUCUCUACGGUUCUACGCUGGCUCCUCAGGUUGUGCUCCUGGCCGGUACUACCGCUCGGUUCCAGGCGGUACUACCACCGCCUCCCUGGCGUCGGAAGUACCACCCGCAACCACUGCCGCCAGUCGCCGUCAUCCUCACCCCAGAGUGCUCUCCAUCGCUCUGGAUCCAUGGGCCUUCCUUGGAUCUGCUUCGUGGAGGCCCCCUCCCACCCGAUCUCUUCCCAUGGAUACCGGUACUUGCUCUCCCAUGGGUGGAAUUGCUCGCUUCCAGCGGUGGCUUUGGUUCUUGCUCUGCUCCUCCUACCAAGACCAAGAAGCGAGCCCGUAGAUGCAAGCGCCCUGUUGAGUCUAAAGUGGAAGAUGAGGUUGUGGUUCCCACCAAGACAACUCACCGUGAAAAGUAUGUCGCUGCCAAGCAGCGUGUUGCCCUUCCUAUGCACAAGUGGAAGGCAAAGUACUGGGAAACCUUCCGGAAGAGGAAUUCGUAUGUGGUUCCGGUUGACCCACGUUGGACCACUAUUCAGUUCCAGAAUGAGAUGCAAGUGAGGAUUGUCAAUGAGUUGUUCGAGCAUCACAAGAAUCGGUAUACCAAGAAGUGGACCAUUGACCUUGACCAUUGGAGGAACAACAUGGAGUACUUUGGAGAGGCGUUGGUUCUCUAUGAGGAGUUUGAUUUGAUCAAGCUCAUGUCUAUCAACUGGGACUUCGAUGUUCAGCUUAUUCAUCAGUUCUAUGCAACCGUUUAUUUUGGUGAAGAGGAUGAUCGCGCUCUCUCUCUUUCAUGUGCCGUGAUGAGUUCUUUCAAGUGCCUUGGAGAGCUUUCUGCAAUGCUCUUGGCUAUGAUGAUACCGGUCUCGACAGGAAUGGCGGCAUUCGUCCUCACGACCAUGCCCAUUCCGUGCCUAGGGAGAAGGUUGAUCCUCUAUAUAUUCGUGGGCGAGGCAUCAUUGGUUGGAAAUCAGGAUGAGAUUUAUGGGUGCGUCGUUGAUUUGCUUGUUUCUAUGAAGACUCAAGUGGGCUCUGGUUCUACGUUUGAUGUGUCCAAGUGGCUAUGGGAGGAGAUGUACAUCAUGGUCAUCUACCAUAACCUCACCGUGCAUGAGGUCAAGCAACUUAAGAAUACGAAGCAUGCCGAGCCCUGCUUUCCUGCUGAUGAUCCCAAGGAUGUCUAUGCCACUUCAGAUGAUGAGGAUUUCGAGAUGGAGGUGGGAGAGAGAGGUCCCCGUUUCCUUCCAAACCAGUGGUUUACUUUCCAAGCGGUUGUACCGCUCGUUUGGGCGGUCGUACCGCCUGCCCAGUUCAACUGGCACAACCACCGCCCAGGGGUGAUACCCUUGGGUUGCUACUCCCAGGUACAUGCCCAGCGGUUGUACCGCCUCUACUCUGGGAAAACAUUGGGGUGCUUCACGUGCAGUUGUACUGGCCAGGUACGCGCAACCACCGGACUCGGUUCUGUGAUGGGGCGGUCCUUGGGCGGUGGUGGGCCGGUUCCAGACGGACAAGAGGAGAGGAGGAUCAGCGAGGUCGAGUUCAUCAGGUACGCGCGCGUAAUCCUCCUAUCUCAUCACCACCAUGCCGGAUUGAUUGAUCCCCCGCCUGCGCGUCGUGUGUCCAGAGAAGAUGCGUUACCUUGUUGUCUUUGUGGUUUAGAUCGCCUCGGCUUGCGUCCUAGGGAGUUCAGAUUUGGUGGAAUCUUGAUGCGAUUUCGGUUCCUUUGA